GUAGGGUGCGAGCGUUAAUCGGAAUAACUGGGCGUAAAGAGUGCGUAGGCGGUCCCGCAAGUCCGCUGUGAAAGCCCCGGGCUUAACCUGGGAAUGGCAGUGGAAACUAUGGGACUUGAAUCUGGCAGAGGGGGGUGGAAUGCCACGUGUAGCAGUGAAAUGCGUAGAGAUGUGGCGGAACACCGAUGGCGAAGGCAGCCCCCUGGGCUGAGAUUGACGCUCAGGCACGAAAGCGUGGGGAGCAAACAGGAUUAGAUACCCUGGUAGUCCACGCCCUAAACGAUGACAACUAGGUGUUGGGGAAGCGAUUUCUCAGUACCGCAGCUAACGCGUGAAGUUGUCCGCCUGGGGAGUACGGUCGCAAGAUUA
rnacentral:rRNA from 1 species